rnacentral:rRNA from 1 species
AACGAACGCUGGCGGCAUGCCUAACACAUGCAAGUCGAACGAUGCUUUCGGGCAUAGUGGCGCACGGGUGCGUAACGCGUGGGAAUCUGCCCUUGGGUUCGGAAUAACAGUGAGAAAUUGCUGCUAAUACCGGAUGAUUUCUUCUGACCAAAGAUUUAUCGCCCAGGGAUGAGCCCGCGUAGGAUUAGCUAGUUGGUGGGGUAAUGGCCUACCAAGGCGACGAUCCUUAGCUGGUCUGAGAGGAUGAUCAGCCACACUGGGACUGAGACACGGCCCAGACUCCUACGGGAGGCAGCAGUGGGGAAUAUUGGACAAUGGGCGCAAGCCUGAACCAGCAAUGCCGCGUGAGUGAUGAAGGCCUUAGGGUUGUAAAGCUCUUUUACCCGGGAUGAUAAUGACAGUACCGGGAGAAUAAGCACCGGCUAACUCCGUG